rnacentral:rRNA from 1 species
UACGGAGGGUGCGAGCGUUGUCCGGAAUCACUGGGCGUAAAGGGCGCGUAGGUGGUCCCUUAAGCGUGUGGUGAAAGCUCGGGGCUCAACCUCGAGUCGGCCAUGCGAACUGGGGGACUGGAGCACUGUAGAGGCAGGUGGAAUUCCGGGUGUAGCGGUGGAAUGCGCAGAUAUCAGGAAGAACACCCGUGGCUAAGGCGGUUCUCUAGUACGGUACUGACGCUGAGACGCGAAAGCGUGGGGAGCGAACAGG